rnacentral:rRNA from 1 species
UACGUAGGGUGCAAGCGUUAAUCGGAAUUACUGGGCGUAAAGCGUGCGCAGGCGGUGAUGUAAGACAGGUGUGAAAUCCCCGGGCUUAACCUGGGAAUGGCCAUGGAAACUGGCGAGCUGGAGUCUGGCAGAGGGGGGUGGAAUUCCGCGUGUAGCAGUGAAAUGCGUAGAGAUGCGGAGGAACACCGAUGGCGAAGGCAGCCCCCUGGGCUAAGACUGACGCUGAGGCACGAAAGCGUGGGGAGCAAACAGG